UCUGAGCAGCGACUUGGGUAAGACCGUCCUCUUACAGAUCUACAACACUGAAUGAUAUGUCUUUUUCAAAAGUACUAUAGGAAAUACCUGAAAAGAGAAAAAGACCAAAAAUAGUCAUUUUUCUGUUUAAUUGUGGAAAGAACAACUGUAAAUUACAAACUUUUUAACAUUCUGAAGACUUGAUGUUAAGAACUCUGGUGUCAAAGUCAAGAGUGAGCUUGAAUACAGGCUCUGACACAAGUCAUUUAAUCUCUCUAUGCCUCAGUUUACUCAUUCUGUCUAUGCCACAAAAUUAUGGGAUAAAUAAAUGAGAUAAUACAUGUAAAUCACUUAGAACAAUAUCUGGAACAUAAUAAGCAAUCAAUAAAUGUAAGCCAUUA